rnacentral:rRNA from 1 species
GAUCCUGGCUCAGGAUGAACGCUAGCUACAGGCUUAACACAUGCAAGUCGAGGGGGCGAGCAUGGUCUUAGCUUGCUAAGGCCGAUGGCGACCGGCGCACGGGUGAGUAACACGUAUCCAACCUGCCGUCUACGUCUUGGACAGCCUUCUGAAAAGGAAGAUUAAUACAAGAUGGCAUCAUGAGUUCACAUGUUUCACAUGAUUAAAGGGUAUUCCGGUAGACGAUGGGG